CCUACGGGUGGCUGCAGUGGGGAAUAUUGGACAAUGGGCGAAAGCCUGAUCCAGCCAUGCCGCGUGUGUGAAGAAGGCCUUCGGGUUGUAAAGCACUUUCAGUGGGGAAGAAAGCCUUGGGGCUAAUACCCUCGAGGAAGGACAUCACCCACAGAAGAAGCACCGGCUAACUCCGUGCCAGCAGCCGCGGUAAUACGGAGGGUGCGAGCGUUAAUCGGAAUUACUGGGCGUAAAGCGCGCGUAGGCGGUCUGAUAAGCCGGUUGUGAAAGCCCCGGGCUCAACCUGGGAACGGCAUCCGGAACUGUCAGGCUAGAGUGCAGGAGAGGAAGGUAGAAUUUCCGGUGUAGCGGUGAAAUGCGUAGAGAUCGGGAGGAAUACCAGUGGCGAAGGCGGCCUUCUGGACUGACACUGACGCUGAGGUGCGAAAGCGUGGGUAGCAAACAGGAUUAGAUACCCUUGUAGUC
rnacentral:rRNA from 1 species